rnacentral:rRNA from 1 species
CCAGCACCCCGAGUGGUCGGGACGAUUAUUGGGCCUAAAGCAUCCGUAGCCGGUUUUACAAGUCCUCCGUUAAAUCCAACUGCUUAACAGAUGGGCCGCGGAGGAUACUAUAAAACUAGGAGGCAGGAGAGGCAAGCGGUACUCAGUGGGUAGGGGUAAAAUCCGUUGAUCCAUUGAAGACCACCAGUGGCGAAGGCGGCUUGCCAGAAUGCGCUCGACGGUGAGGGAUGAAAGCUGGGGGAGCAAACCGGAUUAGAUACCCGGAUAGUCCCAGCUGUAAACGAUGCAGACUCGGUGAUGGACUAGCUUCAUGCCAGUCCAGUGCCGCAGGGAAGCCGUUAAGUCUGCCGCCUGGGUAGUACGGUCGCAAGACUG